GAGAUUUUCGACGAGAUAAGAAAAACUACUGUCACCAACAUUAAAAGCUACUGUCACCGACAACAAAAACUACUCUUGCCACCAACAAAACCUACUACUAAGUAAAACAAAAGCUAUUCCCUAAAGUCGAGACUAAUAAAGCUACUCCCAACGACUAUAAAAGCUAUUACCAAACAAUACAAAAGGUACUCCAAAAUAUCAAAACAACUAUAGAUUGAAAAUCUCAAAUACUAGAAUCAAAUUACUCCGAUUUCAACUUCAACCAAACAGAACUCAAGAACUUAAUAAAGUAACUUAGCCCCUUAAAGAGGCAUGAUGUUGCAUUGUCCACAUGGUCCAUGGACUAAGCACAUGGAAUAUGAAAUGCAUCACUUUACGCAAAAUCUUCCUAGCAUAUGUACAUGCCACAAGCAUUUUAAGUUUUCUUCUACAGAUUACAACUUGGAAUUUCAUAAAUCUGGCCAAUGAUUAAUCAAACUCAUAUUCAACAAGUUUUUGGUAUCAGAAGUUCUAGCCUGGCUUUGGCUAAGUAUCUUGCUUCAAGGUGAUGCGGCAGGAGGAUGCUGACCUUCUUGAGGAAUAAGGAAUUGGUUUUCAUUGUUUCUAAGGAUGGAAUUGAUACUGUGAGUAGUUACUCCUUCUUGGAAUUUGCCUCUGUUGUAGAUUCAUGCAAGCAAGCAUUAAUUAUUUGCAUCAAUUCAGCAGAAUAUAUUCAGUAGCUAGCACUUGGAUCUUAUAUAAUAUAUGGUUCCUUUAACUGAUCGUUAUUUUGAUUUCUAAUUUGUUGUUGAAAAAGUUUGACUGCCUGUAUUCUGUUGCGGCAAUCAUUUGUGGUGGUUGCAUGAGGGUUCUCACAGUCAUAAGUAAGUUCCAUGAGUCUCUUUAGAGGCUGCUGGAGAAUCAGGCUCUCUCCAACAAGUAUUUUUAUUCAUCAAAACUGAUCAAUGAGAGAAUAUUGGUGGCAGUCAGCUAGGCUCUGCAAAUCAAGUGGGAACUAUAAAUUUUCACUCGGAAUUGUUGUAGAUUCGGGCAAAAUCUGGUACAUGCUGAUGUGUCUGAAUUUGAGAGGACUGCAAAUAAACUAGAAGUAAAGACAUCAAGUGGGCGGGUUGAUGAAGAGUUUGCAGACAUAGUCAUAGAUAAGUGGCAUGAUUGCGUGAGGCUGGGGCCUGGGGUUUCCCUUUUUGGAGGCUGCUGCAGAACAACUCCAAAUACCAUCAGGGCAAUAUCUAAGGCUUUCUAACGAAGCUAGUCUUUUGCGUUAACAACUCUUAGUUGAGUUCCAAAACCGAGGUGUAAAUAUUUGUAAUCCGAUGCUAAGAAUAAGAGCACGUGUCAUUUUCAUUUCCUUGUUUUGUAACUCAGGAAGUAGCAGAUUACUAUCACCACGGUGCUGUUG